GUUGAGAGCUCUUACCAUUUUCUUGCCCAGUCUGCACCGCUGCCUGUAAUUCAAGAACCAUCCACAAAAUUUUCUUUUGCUGUUGUUGUUGGCUAUCAUUCCUUCAUGUAUCAAAUUCACUUAAAGCAUCACCUCUUCUACUUGCUCAAGCCAUUCUUUAACCUGACUAGUUGGUAAUUUCCCAUCCUUGAAAGCUGUUUCAAGUUCUUGAUUCAAAUCAUCCCUCAGAGAAAUUAGAUUCUGCAUCUCUUUCUCCAAA
rnacentral:misc_RNA from 1 species